rnacentral:rRNA from 1 species
GCACAAGCGGUGGAGCAUGUGGUUUAAUUCGACGCAACGCGAAGAACCUUACCUGGGCUAGAAUGCCUCUGACAGCCCCAGAGAUGGGGUCUCCAGGGUAACACCUGGCAGAGUGCAAGGUGCUGCAUGGCUGUCGUCAGCUCGUGUCGUGAGAUGUUGGGUUAAGUCCCGCAACGAGCGCAACCCUUAUCAAUAGUUGCCAGCGGUUCGGCCGGGCACUCUAUUGAGGCUGCCGUUGACAAAACGGAGGAAGGUGGGGAUGACGUCAAGUCCUCAUGGCCUUUAUGUCCAGGGCUACACACGUGCUACAAUGGCCGGUACAAAGCGCCGCAAACCUGCAAGGGGGAGCCAAUCGCAAAAAGCCGGUCUCAGUUCGGAUUGGAGUCUGCAACUCGACUCCAUGAAGUUGGAAUCGCUAGUAAUCGCAGAUCAGCAUGUCGCGGUGAAUACGUUCCCGGGC